rnacentral:tRNA from 1 species
UGUGGCUCAGUUGGAGGAGUGCUUGCCUCGAAUGCAGGAAACCUUGGGUUCCAUUCCCAGCA